UACCGGUUGGGAAAGGUGCAACUGCACCGCAGAUGGAGGAGCCCGCGGCGCAUUAGCUAGUUGGUGGGGUAACGGCCUACCAAGGCGACGAUGCGUAGCCGACCUGAGAGGGUGGACGGCCACACUGGGACUGAGACACGGCCCAGACUCCUACGGGAGGCAGCAGUAGGGAAUCUUCCGCAAUGGGCGCAAGCCUGACGGAGCAACGCCGCGUGAGCGAAGAAGGCCUUCGGGUUGUAAAGCUCAGUCACUCGGGAAGAGCGGACGAGGGAGUGGAAAGCCCUCGCCGAGACGGUACCGAGAGAGGAAGCCCCGGCUAACUACGUG
rnacentral:rRNA from 1 species